ACUGACAUCAAGUCAUCAUAUCCAUUGUGACCGACAUCCCAGCUGGCUGUGGCAUGUCGUUUCUGCAUGGCUCUCUGCUUAAACUAACUGGUUUAAGUGUUUAUUACAAAAGUUUUCAGCCGUAUUCGGCUACAACAGUUAAGUGUUGAAAUCCGGUGAUGUAUCAAGUGUUACUUGAGGUGCUGAACAAUCUAUUGACUGGCUUUUAUUCAUCCAGUUCAACAAUCAGCACUUACUUAGUUUUUGACCAGAGAGAAAGAACAGCAACGGCAAAACGAUCAGCUGAUUGUCAUUUGGCGGGAAUGCAGCAGCCCCACCUAAUCGCCCACGGUGUUCCAGGUAAUUUGUGGUUGGCUGCGCUGCGUUUGAAUGUAAUUCAAGGCAACAGAAGUUCUCUGCUCAAUUCCAGGGGCUGGUUUAAAGGCUACAACGUGGGUGGACCAUUUGACAAGACGAAUACCAUAGGAGUUGGGCAUCCGCCAUUGUCUCCUACAGAAAGCCUUGCAGUUACGUGGCCAUGUUACCAACUGCGACAUGUCUGAAUCUCAUUCACCUUAUUUGUUACCAAUAUUUUUGCCACCGCUGUUUCUUUAUAAGAUUUAAAUUCGUGCUGGAUGUUGAGCAUGAUGGAAUUACGUUUUGUUCUUGUAUUCUCCCCCCCAUGUGUUUCCUAGUAAACAAUAGCCUAUUUCUCAAAACAAAACCAGAGUCAUAGCAUGGUGUAAAAGGGGGGGGGGGAGAAUUAUAUUAUAUUUUUCCCUUUUACACCAUGGUCAUAGUCCAUUUCCAACAAAACCAGAGUCAUAGUCCAUUUCCAUGAGCCCAUGAUUUUUCUUGCCUUAACGGUGCAAGUUGGCAACGUUGCUAACGGGGCGUAUUCUAGAGCUCGAAGUCGAAAAAGGAGAUGUGUUGGAUUAUUGUGGCUCUUGUAUGUUUAUAAGGUUUUAGAUGACUUUGAUUUGGAAUUAAAUGUGUGGAUUGAAGUGGUUGGUUUUUGGAUGCUAGUUGGAUCGUGAGCGAGAAAAAGCCACGACCCGAUCGCCAUUUAAAAUUGAAACAUACGUGGGUGGCUUUGAUACGGUCUGGCUGUUGCAUCAUGGCAGACUUAUUGUUCUGUCCAAAGUUUUGUUUGCUAGCUGUUAUUCGACAAUUCUAGCCCGGCUUCUGUUUCCUACCUCUCAUUUUCCAUGUCACCCACUCACUUUAUCCACCGUUUUCUGUUUUCUCGUUGCGUUUCGACUACGAGCUGAGCUUUUCCAAUUGCUGCGAAUUUUGGUUUACUGUUUGGAUUAUUAGGAUUCGUUGCUGGAAGAAAAAGGCGCUCAGAUCAAAAACACAGAACAAAACCAUCUUGUUAGCACUUGUAGUGGAAAGCAAAGAAUUCCCGCGUGAAAUUCUGAUCAUUUAAAUGCUAUUUUGUGUUCUAUGAAUAAUCUGUGUUCUUUGGAAAUACAGAUACUCUUACAUGAUUAUAUUUUCCAAUCGAAAUGAUUAGACAGCGUUUCCAUCCGGCCAUUACAUCGCAUGUCGUCGAUUGAAGAAAGAAGGUGUGGCACCAACCAAAAAAUUUGAGAGUCGCCACAAAGAGGGAUUGAACCAAGACGUCUCGUUUGAACGGACGUCCUGGAGGCAUGUCCCUGUUUGCGUGCUCGCAUCAUCCGGAUCCGUGCCAUAACCCACAGCCACUUCAGAGAAAUCCAUUGGACGUUAUCCAUGUCGCUGAACAGCCAGUGGCAAACACUAGGGAUCAUCUUGCAACGCUACUAUAUGAAACAGGUUUUUAGUGGUUCAUUCCUGAAUAGUAUGUUUAGUACUACGGAAAAACUAAAAAAGGAUUGUAGGAGAGAUGACAGGACAGCGGUCGAUUGUAGAGGUUUCUUUUACUUCUGCUAUAGCAGUAUUAACAUUUUCUAAACUCACAAUUAGUGGGAACCUGCCGCCCGACAAUGAAUCGUCCAAGUCCAAACUGGUAAUUGUUUUCUGGAUUCGAUAGAGAAAACCUGUAAUCCCCUGGAUGUGGCUGGAAAGUUGUUGUCAUUCUGUGGUAUUGAUGGCAGGAGUGCAAAAACCAUAAACUAAUCGCCUAUUGUAAACAAAACGUCUGUCGAUGGAAAAUAGAAGAAACAAAAACA